rnacentral:rRNA from 1 species
GACGAACGCUGGCGGCGUGCUUAACACAUGCAAGUCGAACGCUGAAGCUCUGGUUUUGUUGUGCGGAUGAGUGGCGAACGGGUGAGUAACACGUGAGUAACCUGCCCCCUUCUUUGGGAUAACGCCCGGAAACGGGUGCUAAUACUGGAUAUUCACUGGUCUUCGCAUGGGGGUUGGUGGAAAGGGUUUUUCUUGUGGCGGAUGGGCUCGCGUCCUAUCAGCUUGUUGGUGGGUUGAUGGCCUACCAAGGCUUUGGCGGGUAGCCGGCCUGAGUGGGUGACCGGUAACAUGAGGGCUGCGAUACGGACCAGACUACUACGGGAGGCAGCAGUGGGGAAUAGUGCACAAUGGGAGCAAGGCUGCUGCAGCGACGCGGCGUGGGGGAUGGUGGCCUGGGGGUUGUGAACCUUUUGCGAUCAUGGAAAAGCCGCAACAAUAGUUGUGGUGAGGGGAGUGUGUAAAGAAGCGACGGGUAACUACGUG